AGCGGGGUGGAGCAGCCAGGUAGCUCGCCAGGCUCAUAACCUGGAGGUCGGCCGUUCAAAUCGGCCCCCCGCAA
rnacentral:tRNA from 1 species